AAAGCAGGCCGCAAUUACAGAACUUCAUUAUCCUGCUGAAAGAAAAGCCGUGUUGAUUGUUUCUGAUUUUGCCUCUCUGGGGGUAAAAUCAUGACACCUUGACAUGAACCAUU